GGACCUGCAAAAUGGGAGAUUUUUCUCAAAGAACACCAGGAUGACGAGAUUACAGGCUCACUUGGCAUUCUCGCACUGCUCCUUGCAACACAGAGGUCUUCCUGUUUUAUUGACAUCAAUAUUUCCACCAGCAAUGGGUUCAUUUCACCAGUUUGACACAACGCAUCUGUUUUGGACAAUUGUGUGACACUGUAAGUCCCCUUGGUCACUGCUGAGUUAACGAUUCAAUAGAGGAAUCCUCUCUAAUGCUGAAAGUCACGUUGACUCUGAAAGAUACCUAAGUUAAAAAAAAGAACAGGAGGACAUGAGCAUCACCUGCAAAUGUUUGCUGAGCAAAGCACUCUGUUUAUCUCCACUGUGUUACU